rnacentral:lncRNA from 1 species
GAUGGCAGAGCAAGACUCAGUCUCAAAAAAAAAAAAAGAAAAAAGAAAAAAAAAGGUGUUCAAUGACAUGAUGAUAAGAAGGAGCACAAGUUUUCAACAGCAGAGGAGGUGAAGAUGCAUAAGAAGGUGGUGCUCUUCUGCCUGAGUGGGGACGAGAACAUCAUCGUUGAGGAGGGCAGGGGGACCCUGGCAGGUGAAGUGGGGCAGGCUGUUGACAACUCCUACACCGUGGUUGUCAAGGUCAAGAUGCUGCCAGCCAAGGACUGCCACUAUGUCCUCUGUGACGCAACCUAUGAGACCAAAGGGAGCCAAGAGGAGGAUCUAGUGUUUAUCUUCUGAGCCCCUCAGUCUGCACCCCUAAGAGUAGAAUGAUCUAUGGCAGCUCCAAGGAUACCAUCAAGAAGAAGCUGACAGGGAUCCUGCAUGAAUUACCAGCAAAUGGCUACAGGAGGUCAAGGACCUCUGCACCCAGGUGGACAAGCUAGGGGCAGCACUGUCAUCUCCUGCAGGGCAACCC